UGAGGUAACCCUAACUCAACCCUACCUUCUCGAGCUCCACCCACACCCCACACAAGUGAGAGCUUCUUCCUCUCUCCGUCCACACUCUCUCCAUCGCACGAGCUUCUUCCUCUCUCCUUCUUAUUUUGCAAUAUAAAACUGUGCUCCUCUGCUCCCUUCGUCAUCGUCCCUUGGAGGAGCUUAAUUUGGGAAGGGAUAGAAUAAAAAUAUUGGAACAUGAGCUUUCAUGCAGAUCUGCUUCAAUCAAAACAAAUGCCCUAAAAACUGGUAGUAACGAUGAAGGAAGACAAUAUAAUAUGGUGUUGUCUAUAGUGUUGAGGGGAAAAGGGAAGAGUUCUUGGAACAACUUUUGAGUUCUAGGAACAGAUCAAGAUCAAGGAGUGGAAAAAAGAGAUAUUCAUCUGAGGAAUGCUCAUCAUCUUCUUCAGAUGUUAGUAAGGAUUUCAAAGAUCGAAAAGGGGAGGCAUCAAAAGACAAAUAGAAAACACGGGAGUAAAAAGAGCAAGGUAAAAGGUGAAGCUGCAAAUAUUGCAGCAGAUUCUAUAAGUGAGAAUAAAAUUUCAAGAAAAGAAAUGUGAUUGGAUUGGAUGCUUAGGCCUAAGAGUAAGGGACCAACAGUUUCAGAUACAAUGGAGAAAUUGCCAGAGGAAGAUCCUGUUGAGGAGGCUUAUGUGACACAAGAUGACAACU